AGCGAACGCUGGCGGCAGGCUUAACACAUGCAAGUCGAACGGGCAUCUUCGGAUGUCAGUGGCAGACGGGUGAGUAACACGGGGGAACGUACCCUUCGGUUCGGAAUAACUCAGGGAAACUUGAGCUAAUACCGGAUACGCCCUUUUUGGGAAAGGUUUACUGCCGAAGGAUCGGCCCGCGUCUGAUUCGCUUGGUGGUGGGGUAACGGCCUACCAAGGCGACGAUCAGUAGCUGGUCUGAGAGGAUGAUCAGCCACACUGGGACUGAGACACGGCCCAGACUCCUACGGGAGGCAGCAGUGGGGAAUAUUGGACAAUGGGCGCAAGCCUGAUCCAGCCAUGCCGCGUGAGUGAUGAAGGCCUUAGGGUUGUAAAGCUCUUUUGUCCGGGACGAUAAUGACGGUACCGGAAGAAUAAGCCCCGGCUAACUUCGUG
rnacentral:rRNA from 1 species